rnacentral:rRNA from 1 species
UACAGAGGGGGCAAGCGUUGUUCGGAAUUACUGGGCGUAAAGGGUUCGUAGGUGGCCACUUAAGUCAGACGUGAAAUCCCUCAGCUUAACUGGGGAACUGCGUCUGAUACUGAGUGGCUUGAGUGCAGGAGAGGAAUGCGGAAUUCCAGGUGUAGCGGUGAAAUGCGUAGAUAUCUGGAGGAACACCGGUGGCGAAGGCGGCAUUCUGGACUGUAACUGACACUGAGGAACGAAAGCCAGGGGAGCAAACGGG